GGAAAACGCUCUGGAAAGAGCGGCCAUAGAAGGUGAUAGCCCUGUAUCUGAAAGGGCCAUUCCAGUGAAGACGAGUAGGGCGGGGCACGUGAAACCCUGUCUGAACAUGGGGGGACCAUCCUCCAAGGCUAAAUACUACUGACCGACCGAUAGUGAACCAGUACCGUGAGGGAAAGGCGAAAAGAACCCCGGAGAGGGGAGUGAAAUAGAACCUGAAACCGUGUGCGUACAAGCAGUAGGAGCUCCGCAAGGAGUGACUGCGUACCUUUUGUAUAAUGGGUCAGCGACUUACUGUUCGUGGCAAGCUUAACCGUAUAGGGGAGGCGAAGGGAAACCGAGUCUGAUAAGGGCGCAUAGUCGCGGGCAGUAGACCCGAAACCGGGUGAUCUAGUCAUGCCCAGGGUGAAGGUGCGGUAACACGCACUGGAGGCCCGAACCCACUCCCGUUGCAAAGGUAGGGGAUGAGGUGUGAUUAGGAGUGAAAAGCUAAUCGAACCCGGAGAUAGCUGGUUCUCCUCGAAAGCUAUUUAGGUAGCGCCUCAUAUGUAUCCUCUCGGGGGUAGAGCACUGUUAUGGCUAGGGGGUCAUCGCGACUUACCAAACCAUUGCAAACUCCGAAUACCGAGACGGACUGUAUGGGAGACACACGGCGGGUGCUAACGUCCGUCGUGAAAAGGGAAACAACCCAGACCCACAGCUAAGGUCCCAAAUUUUGUGCUAAGUGGAAAACCAUGUGGAAAGGCACAGACAGCCAGGAGGUUGGCUUAGAAGCAGCCACCCUUUAAAGAAAGCGUAAUAGCUCACUGGUCGAGUCGGUCUGCGGGGAAGAUUUAACGGGGCUAAGCACAGAACCGAAGCUUGGGGUGCAUAACUUUGUUAUGCGCGGUAGAGGAGCGUUCCGUAAGCCGUUGAAGGUGGAUUGAGAAGUCUGCUGGAGGUAUCGGAAGUGCGAAUGCUGACAUGAGUAACGAUAAUGCGGGUGAAAAACCCGCACGCCGAAAGCCCAAGGUUUCCUUGCGCAACGUUAAUCGGCGCAGGGUGAGUCGGCCCCUAAGGCG
rnacentral:rRNA from 1 species